CGAACGCUGGCGGCGUGCCUAAUACAUGCAAGUCGAGCGAAGUUUUUCUGGUGCUUGCACCGGAAAAACUUAGCGGCGAACGGGUGAGUAACACGUAAAGAACCUGCCUCAUAGACUGGGACAACUAUUGGAAACGAUAGCUAAUACCGGAUAAUAGCAUUAACUGCAUGGUUGAUGUUUAAAAGUUGGUUUUGCUAACACUAUGAGAUGGCUUUGCGGUGCAUUAGCUAGUUGGUGGGGUAAAGGCCUACCAAGGCGACGAUGCAUAGCCGACCUGAGAGGGUGAUCGGCCACACUGGGACUGAGACACGGCCCAGACUCCUACGGGAGGCAGCAGUAGGGAAUCUUCCGCAAUGGGCGAAAGCCUGACGGAGCAACGCCGCGUGAGUGAAGAAGGAUUUCGGUUCGUAAAGCUCUGUUGUUAGGGAAGAAUGAUUGUGUAGUAACUAUACACAGUAGAGACGAUACCUAACCAGAAAGCCACGGCUAACUACGUG
rnacentral:rRNA from 1 species